rnacentral:lncRNA from 1 species
AGAGACAGCAGUAACACCUUCUGGCUAUAGUCUAUUUUCAUCUUUCUCAUCCUAGUGUUAUCAAGAGAAAAACAGUCUUAGAUGCAACAUAAAAAUUUCAGAGACAGAAGAAAUCUUCCUUUGAGGGCAGGUUUUUUGGGAAAGAUAUAUAGCUUUUGGCAGAAGAAAAUCAGUGACAAUGACUUAGAAGAAUCUUAAUCUCAUGAAAGAAAUAAAUGCUUGUCAGUCAAGAAGUUGUAACCUUUACCUUGUUUUGACCUUUACAUUUUCAAGUGAUACACUUAUGUGAGAUUUUGAAAAGUGAAAAAUCAAAGGUGGAAUUGACCAGUAGAUGUAAAAGUACAACAAAUAAACAAAAAUGGCAAUGUUGAAAGUGAAACUGAAAUUCAACAGAAAUAAAAGAAAUAGCAGACUGGGGGGAUAUUGACUUUGACACCAUGAUGCCAGAGGAACUUAGUGAUGGCAAACUUAUCAAUAUAAAAUGAGGAUAUUGGUUGUCAACUAGGAUUGAAAUGCUGUUUUUCUUCCCUGGUACAAUGUUAAAGCUUUAAACUCUUGUCAAUGAUGUGAUGUUUCAUCUGCAAUGAUCUACACUAGAAAAAUAAAAAUGUAGUUACUGACAAAAAAGCAGUACUCCAGGCAGAUUUAUAAAGGAAGCUGCUGGAAGGAAUUCAUUCCCUUUUUGCUGUUCUGCCUUCCACCUUCCACUGUGUGAGGACACUGCAAGAAAGCCCUCAUCAGACACCAACUGCCAGCACCUAGAUCUUGGAAUUCUCAGCCUCCAGAACUGUGAGAAACACGUUUCUGUUUUUCUAUAAAAUAAUAAUAAUAAAAAACUUCCAUGCAGGAAAAAAAAUCAAGUUCAAAGGUCCUGUGGUGAGGGCAUACCAGCUUUGUUUGAGAAGCAGUAAUCAUGCCUGUGUGACUGUAAUGAAAGAAUAAAAGAGAAAUGAGCACAGAAGAAUAUAA